UUAAGUGGGAAACGAUGUGGGAAGGCCCAGACAGCCAGGAUGUUGGCUUAGAAGCAGCCAUCAUUUAAAGAAAGCGUAAUAGCUCACUGGUCGAGUCGGCCUGCGCGGAAGAUGUAACGGGGCUAAACCAUGCACCGAAGCUGCGGCAGCGACACUGUGUGUUGUUGGGUAGGGGAGCGUUCUGUAAGCCGUUGAAGGUAUCCUGUGAGGGGUGCUGGAGGUAUCAGAAGUGCGAAUGCUGACAUAAGUAACGAUAAAGCGGGUGAAAAGCCCGCUCGCCGGAAGACCAAGGGUUCCUGUCCAACGUUAAUCGGGGCAGGGUGAGUCGACCCCUAAGGCGAGGCCGAAAGGCGUAGUCGAUGGGAAACGGGUUAAUAUUCCCGUACUUGGUGUUACUGCGAAGGGGGGACGGAGAAGGCUAUGUUGGCCGGGCGACGGUUGUCCCGGUUUAAGCGUGUAGGUGUGUGUUCCAGGUAAAUCCGGUUCACUUUAACACUGAGGCGUGAUGACGAGGCACCACGGUGCUGAAGCAACAAAUGCCCUGCUUCCAGGAAAAGCCUCUAAGCAUCAGGUAACAUCAAAUCGUACCCCAAACCGACACAGGUGGUCAGGUAGAGAAUACCAAGGCGCUUGAGAGAACUCGGGUGAAGGAACUAGGCAAAAUGGUGCCGUAACUUCGGGAGAAGGCACGCUGACACGUAGGUGAAGUGAUUUACUCAUGGAGCUGAAGUCAGUCGAAGAUACCAGCUGGCUGCAACUGUUUAUUAAAAACACAGCACUGUGCAAACACGAAAGUGGACGUAUACGGUGUGACGCCUGCCCGGUGCCGGAAGGUUAAUUGAUGGGGUCAGCGCAAGCGAAGCUCCUGAUCGAAGCCCCGGUAAACGGCGGCCGUAACUAUAACGGUCCUAAGGUAGCGAAAUUCCUUGUCGGGUAAGUUCCGACCUGCACGAAUGGCGUAAUGAUGGCCAGGCUGUCUCCACCCGAGACUCAGUGAAAUUGAACUCGCUGUGAAGAUGCAGUGUACCCGCGGCAAGACGGAAAGACCCCGUGAACCUUUACUAUAGCUUGACACUGAACAUUGAGCCUUGAUGUGUAGGAUAGGUGGGAGGCUUUGAAGCGUGGACGCCAGUCUGCGUGGAGCCGACCUUGAAAUACCACCCUUUAAUGUUUGAUGUUCUAACGUGGACCCGUAAUCCGGGUUGCGGACAGUGUCUGGUGGGUAGUUUGACUGGGGCGGUCUCCUCCUAAAGAGUAACGGAGGAGCACGAAGGUUGGCUAAUCCUGGUCGGACAUCAGGAGGUUAGUGCAAUGGCAUAAGCCAGCUUGACUGCGAGCGUGACGGCGCGAGCAGGUGCGAAAGCAGGUCAUAGUGAUCCGGUGGUUCUGAAUGGAAGGGCCAUCGCUCAACGGAUAAAAGGUACUCCGGGGAUAACAGGCUGAUACCGCCCAAGAGUUCAUAUCGACGGCGGUGUUUGGCACCUCGAUGUCGGCUCAUCACAUCCUGGGGCUGAAGUAGGUCCCAAGGGUAUGGCUGUUCGCCAUUUAAAGUGGUACGCGAGCUGGGUUUAGAACGUCGUGAGACAGUUCGGUCCCUAUCUGCCGUGGGCGCUGGAAGACUGAGGGGGGCUGCUCCUAGUACGAGAGGACCGGAGUGGACGCAUCACUGGUGUUCGGGUUGUCAUGCCAAUGGCACUGCCCGGUAGCUAAAUGCGGAAAAGAUAAGUGCUGAAAGCAUCUAAGCACGAAACUUGCCCCGAGAUGAGUCUUCCCUGAGACCUUGAGUCUCCUGAAGGAACGUUAAAGACGAUGACGUUGAUAGGCCGGGUGUGUAAGCGCAGCGAUGCGUUGAGCUAACCGGUACUAAUGAACCGUGAGGCUUAACCUUACAACGCCGAAG
rnacentral:rRNA from 1 species